GCGACCAUAAUUUGAUUUUUAGUUUUACGGAUCCGCCGACUCUAAAAAUUUGCAUUUCAAAAAAAAAAUAAAAUCGGAAUUUUUCAAUCCGCUCGUGUCAAACCUGUGUUUUAUAAAAGCAAAUCAGUCAGAAACGUAAUAAAAACACAUGUGCAGAAUGGUAGAAGAAAGUGAGCUGUCAACUUUGAUUUUAUCAAGAGUCUACCAAUUCUGAACCCUCCCCAUUGCAUGUCUCUCUCCAUUUUUUUAAUUGCUGUUUCUACCGAUUUCGAAAAAAAUCCGGAUUUUUUUUACUUCUUCGAUUUGUAAAAUACCGACAAGUCAAAACAAAAAUGGCGGUCAUGCAGUGUUUACCGGUAGCUAAUCUGUUUAUUGCCACUGAUAACAGAGGAAAUGAAAGCAAGUACAUGGUAACUAAUAAAGAGUCUGCAGAGGGAACACCGCGGAUUAUGAGAUUCAGUGACUUAGCAAAUCCUACAUCAACACCAGAUAAUAAAAGCCCUUGAAACUGCAGAGCAACUUGACAGUACCUCUAGAAGACUUCUUUGAAUUUAUGUAGCUAAACAGGGAAAUAAAGUUUCUGAAUUUCAAAAUAUAUUGAUAUUAGCAGAUUGGAACAGGACUACAAUAAUGCUUUGAUAUCAUAUGUACUAAGAGUAAAAAAAAAAGAAUGCAGGAUCUAAGAAUCCAUCUAAUUCAUUCUCAAUAGAUUACGCAUGUUAUUUUUUAAAAAUGUAUAAAGUUUUAAGUUUGGCUAACAGGUACUUCCAAUUCCUUCAAUUUCAGAUCUUUGUUAAAUCCAGGAAACAGUUCUCUUGCUCCGUAUAGUGAGAAAAAUCCAUUCAUCCAUCAGUUAAAAGCUGGAAACUCAGACCGUCUGUAGAAUAUUAUUAAUUCGUUUGAUAGCCAAGUUAAACUUCGAUAUUUACCCUGAAUAUUAUUCAAAUGACACUCAAAUGAAUGUGCAAACUAUACAGUGAAGAACAUAAUUAAAUUUUUAUAAUUUCAAAUAUUACAUGGUACUCAUAUUAAACAAUGUUUGAAUUAAAAGUUGUAAUUUUUAUAAAUAACAACAUUUAUACAUGUAAUGUGUAUUAAUAUUAAAAAAACAUAUCUUGUAA